GAGUGAGAGCUUGACUCUUUGAAAAGGAGACAGAUGGUUUGAAUUUACCGGCAUGAAUAUUACAAGCUUCAGGUGUCCCCAGAUGUUGUAAAAAGCAACAUUAGAAAUUGGUCACAAAUAAUAUGUCCAAAGGUAUCCAGGAAAACAAUGGCUUUUGCCUCUGCUACAGGUAGUCCUUAAUUACAUUUUACAGACACAGAAAUUCAGCACAAACUGGUCAAAACAGCUGUGGGGAAGUUUCUGCUUUGAAGGAAAUAUUACUGGUGCUCAAAGAUGUCAUCAACAGAUAUUAAAGAAGAUACAUCAGAAAAUAGGCCAAGGUGCAGUGCUCUUCAGGGGCUACAAAAGCUUUAGCUCUAUGCCCUGGUGUCAAGAGGAUUAAAUGUGAAUUUGAAAGUAAAGAAUGGAUGGGGAGUCAGUGGCUUUGAGCCAAGAUCCUCUUCAGCUGUGCAUUAAAAGAUGCUAUGGUGGAUCACAGAGAUGUUCUUCAGAGGUGGGCUUGCUGGAGCUUCAAGGCCAUGUGCCAAGAAGGGAUGAAUGCUGGGAGACAAAUUUGAAAGCUCAUCACAACUAUGAGAUGGAAAAGCAGUCUCUGCGACAUAUUGAUAGCUGCGGAUGACAGAAAUGAUGUUUAUUGCCAUGGACAGUAAAACUUAUAUAUAUUAAAAGAAUGCAAACUUUGGAGAACGAUGGGAAACACUGACAGGAAACGCCUCAGAACAAAUUUCUGCAAGAAAAACUGGCCGGAGGAAGUAGUUUCAGCAAAAAUGUUUUAUUCUGAUCUGGAGGCCAGAUGAUACAGUAACAAGAAAAGUCAACUUCUGACAUAUCAUUUCACCCACUAAAAGUCACCUUAACUUUGGUGUGUAAAAUAAAAUUUCUUCCCUGAAUAACUUUGUAAUUAAAAAUGUUGAUGUCUUUUUUAGAGAAGAGAACUAUUUAACUGAAAACUUUACUCCAGGUAACGCAUACUGGAAUCUCCUUGAAUGGGUAAAAUAUUGCUUUGUUUUCUUGAGCAAGUAAAAUUUGUAUAUUGCUUCUCUCCUCUCCAACACAAAUUUCAGUAGAACACCACUGAUACACUAGUUUCAUACUAGUUUGGAAACUGGAACACUAGUUUUAUACGGUAGAAGAUUUAAAUUGAUGAAGUUUUUUCAAUUGUGGCUUCCCCUUCAGUUUUUCCAGCCCAGCCAUUGCUGUCUGAUACUGCUGCUUGAAUACUGCAAAGCAAAACUGAAUUAUAAAAUAGAAAAACAAGGCAGACUGCUUUGGUAGGCAAAACUGGGUAAACUGGUAAACAUAACAAAUACUACAGCUUAGAAAUUUUGGGAAGCAGGAAUGGAAGAGGUAGGAUCUCUUUUCAUCUGUCACCCAAAUUUAAGUCCAGAGUUGUAUAAUUCUGUUUAAAAAAAAGCCCAUACAAUCUGCUCAUUCCUAUACUGAAAGAGCUCCGAGAUCAUUGGUGCAUGCAUUUUGCCUUGGCUCUAUCAGGGAGAGGUGAGGAAGUGUUUGGUUCUGGUUUUAAUUUUCUUUGGUAUAGCUGUCAGGGAAGCUGCAGGAAUGUGUGUUAACCAACUAAAUUAGCACUGGGUUAAAAAUU